AUAAGGAUAGAUGUUUGAGUCUUCCCUCUCACCCUCAUUUCUCUCUUUCUCUCCACGUCUCUUCUCUCUCUCUGUAAUCUAUCCAACCACCCUGCUCUCUCCCUCCGUUCAGCUACACACCUCAGCCCCGAAAUCGCCGACAAAGUCGUCGGGAUGCCGAAAGCGCACAUAGCUUACCCAAGUUCCAAUUCCCAUUAGUUUAUCUCCAUAUCAGAAAUUGAAAUUCAAACCCACAUCAAACCAAUAUCCAAAAUAGGUGAAGUGGGAGAGUAUAGAAGCGAGUGAACUCGCUAGUUGGCAGCAGCACGUGUCAAGUCACCACCUCCUUUUUUUGCUGGUUCAGUCGGAGUUUACACGUGGCAUGCUUAGGUUAUCUUUUGUUGUAAAUAGUUGGGUUACAAACGUAAGGUUAUAACAUUCUUUUUGCUAGUGGAGUUGUAUAUAUCUAUCUAAACAGGUUAAUGUUAUUUUGUUAUGUAUAGUUGUAAUCAGUUGUGUUAUCAGGUUUAGUUACUUAUAUGAUAGUGUUGUUAUGAUGAGUGUUUGCAAAAUGAUUAAAAAAAAUAGGCAGGUUUUAUUUAUCGAUCGUACCGAAAGGUAACAUCACUUAUUUGGUUAAAACUAACCGAGUAAGGGGUGUUACAUGUAAUGUAUAAGUAUAAUUGUAUAAUGCACUAUAUGUGAUCGGUAAUGUA